rnacentral:rRNA from 1 species
ACAAACCGGAGGAAGGUGGGGAUGACGUCAAGUCCUCAUGGCCCUUAUGGGUAGGGCUUCACACGUCAUACAAUGGUCGGUACAGAGGUUGCCAACCCGCGAGGGGGAGCUAAUCCCACAAAGCCGAUCGUAGUCCGGAUCGCAGUCUGCAACUCGACCUGCGUGAAGUCGGAAUCGCUAGUAAUCGUGGAUCAGCAUGUCACGGUGAAUACGUUCCCGGGUCUU